UGAACGCUGGCGGCGUGCCUAAUACAUGCAAGUCGAGCGAACAGACGAGGAGCUUGCUCCUCUGACGUUAGCGGCGGACGGGUGAGUAACACGUGGAUAACCUACCUAUAAGACUGGGAUAACUUCGGGAAACCGGAGCUAAUACCGGAUAAUAUAUUGAACCGCAUGGUUCAAUAGUGAAAGACGGUUUUGCUGUCACUUAUAGAUGGAUCCGCGCCGCAUUAGCUAGUUGGUAAGGUAACGGCUUACCAAGGCAACGAUGCGUAGCCGACCUGAGAGGGUGAUCGGCCACACUGGAACUGAGACACGGUCCAGACUCCUACGGGAGGCAGCAGUAGGGAAUCUUCCGCAAUGGGCGAAAGCCUGACGGAGCAACGCCGCGUGAGUGAUGAAGGUCUUCGGAUCGUAAAACUCUGUUAUUAGGGAAGAACAAAUGUGUAAGUAACUAUGCACAUCUUGACGGUACCUAAUCAGAAAGCCACGGCUAACUACGUG
rnacentral:rRNA from 1 species